rnacentral:rRNA from 1 species
CCCCCAACUAUCCCUAUUAAUCAUUAUUCUAAGUCUAUAAACCAAUAAAUAGACAAGAAUCCUAUUCUAUUAUCCCAUGCUAAUCUAUUCAAUGCCCAUACAGGCUGCUUUGAACACUCUAAUUUACUCAAAGUAAAUGAACUGGAACCCCACUUAAUACCUUACUGUGAUCCUUUAGGUUUCGUAACCAGUUUUACCCAAUUACUACAUCUAAAAGCAAUAAAAUACUAAGCGAUGCCUUGCGACACUACUCCAUGCAAUAAAGAACAGAGUCGAGUAACCAGUAGGAAAGAGCAAUUUACCUUGAGAAAACAGAGUGUUCCAGGCAGGUUUGUCCGGAAUGCAUUAGCAUGGAAUAAUAGAAUAUGACUGAAGUCGAUUUAUUGGUUUAAGGCUUUAGUAAUGAUUAAUAGGAACAGUCGGGGGC